rnacentral:misc_RNA from 1 species
AAAUCCUGAUUUAUACAAUUUGAACUAAAAUUCAGAUACAUAUCUUAGCAUUUCAAAAUUUCGGUCCAAAUGCAGCAUUUUCAUUUGUUUAUUGGGAUAAACCCUUGAUAAUGAUUUUCUAUUUCUUCUUUAAGAGUGUAUGUACUAAUUUCCUAAUAUUAGCAAUGAAAUUGUACAAGUUAAGUUGAGGACAUUGAAAAUUCUGCAUUUUAUUGUCUUAUUUUUUGGGUUUAAAAACUCUGAAUGAAUUACUGCCAUGGACGUUGCUCUUGUUUCGUUGUUAUUGUUUUUCUGGGUUCUGUUCCUCUAACUUUUUCUCCUCUCUUGCAAAGACUCUCUUGAUGAACCUUGCUUGUGAUUCAUCAAAUAAAUCAUAAUGAAGUAUAAUGGAAUGGGGGAAAAAAAACAAAAGAUAGAACGAUGAAGAGAAAAUGCACUCCAUUAGUUUUUGUCAAGGGUAAUACACAGUACAAAAUAGGUUUUGGUACCUUUUUUUCGGUUUUAUUAGAGACUGAUAGUGCAGUGCUACAUGUAAUUUAUCGAAUAGUUGUAAGUGAUGUAUUACCAUACAACUUCUUGGAAUUUAACAAGUUAUUCUCAUGUUUUUCUUUCUUAUUUUUUGCAUAUAUAGUAAUUUGUAAAUGUCUAAUUUUCCAACUUUGCUCAUACAUUUUCCUUUGGUUUCUGAUUAAUUAAACGGAGGCACUGAGUAGGAUUGGUGACCG